rnacentral:rRNA from 1 species
UACAGAGGGUGCAAGCGUUAAUCGGAUUUACUGGGCGUAAAGCGUGCGUAGGCGGCCAAUUAAGUCAAAUGUGAAAUCCCCGAGCUUAACUUGGGAAUUGCAUUCGAUACUGGUUGGCUAGAGUGUGGGAGAGGAUGGUAGAACUCCAGGUGGAGCGGUGAAACGCGUAGAGAUCUGGAGGAAUACCGAUGGCGAAGGCAGCCAUCUGGCCUAACACUGACGCUGAGGUGCGAAAGCAUGGGGAGCAAACAGG